rnacentral:tRNA from 1 species
GGCGAGGUAGCUCAGCUGGUUAGAGCACAGGAUUCAUAAUCCUGGGGUCGGGAGUUCAAGUCUCCCUCUCGCUA